GAUGAACGCUGGCGGCGUGCCUAAUACAUGCAAGUCGAGCGAACGGACGAGAAGCUUGCUUCUCUGAUGUUAGCGGCGGACGGGUGAGUAACACGUGGAUAACCUACCUAUAAGACUGGGAUAACUUCGGGAAACCGGAGCUAUUACCGGAUAAUAUUUUGAACCGCAUGGUUCAAAAGUGAAAGACGGUCUUGCUGUCACUUAUAGAUGGAUCCGCGCUGCAUUAGCUAGUUGGUAAGGUAACGGCUUACCAAGGCAACGAUGCAUAGCCGACCUGAGAGGGUGAUCGGCCACACUGGAACUGAGACACGGUCCAGACUCCUACGGGAGGCAGCAGUAGGGAAUCUUCCGCAAUGGGCGAAAGCCUGCCGGAGCAACGCCGCGUGAGUGAUGAAGGUCUUCGGAUCGUAAAACUCUGUUAUUAGGGAAGAACAUAUGUGUAAGUAACUGUGCACAUCUUGACGGUACCUAAUCAGAAAGCCACGGCUAACUACGUG
rnacentral:rRNA from 1 species